UCGACGCAGAUGACAGCACUAGGAUACCAGCUGUGGGGUUGCUGCCUCCUGCACUCCACACCAGAUGGAUAUCUUCCGGGGGCGUCAACUCUAUAGGGAAAAUUGGCAACACUGUUUUGAUUACCAUCUGAGCUAGCUGCAGACUUGAACGAACUAAAAUUCAAUAUGGCUGCCCACCCGCAUGCGCAUUUGGUGAACUAUGAUAGACUAUGUGCCGUCGCAACGUUAUUCCCGCCACUCUGAGCGAAGCCAAGCAGAACCAGUGAACUGCAGCGAACAAAUAUACUGGACAUAAAUAAUUCUUUUAUAUCGAUCCAUCCUAUCAUCGACAACGUAGCAGCGAAGACGUCGCAGCCAGAAGCAGCAAGAACUUUGGAGCCAGAAACAGC